GGGGUUGUGGCUCAGUGGUAGAGCGCUUGCCUAGCAAGCGAGGCACUGGGUUUGAUUGUCAGCACCA
rnacentral:tRNA from 1 species